rnacentral:rRNA from 1 species
CGCGGCGGCUGACACCAGACUUGCCCACCCCUUAUUCUGCACCAUUUUUAGAGGUGCCAAAAGAUCUCCUUAACGGAAAUCACUCAGAGUAACCCUGUCAAGCUUUCGCCUAUUGCAGAGGUUUCGCGCCUGCUGCGCCCCAUAGG